rnacentral:tRNA from 1 species
CCUUCCAUAGCUCAGUUGGUAGAGCGGAGGACUGUAGAUCCUUAGGUCGCUGGUUCGACUCCGGCUCGAAGGA